GGCGUCCUACGGGAGGCAGCAGUGAGGAAUAUUGGUCAAUGGGCUUACGCCUGAACCAGCCAAGUCGCGUGAGGGAAGACUGCCCUAUGGGUUGUAAACCUCUUUUGUCAGGGAGCAACGCCGGCUGUGUGUAGCCGGACUGAGAGUACCUGAAGAAAAAGCAUCGGCUAACUCCGUGCCAGCAGCCGCGGUAAUACGGAGGAUGCGAGCGUUAUCCGGAUUUAUUGGGUUUA
rnacentral:rRNA from 1 species